UCAAGCGCGAAGGAGGGGAGGGUUUUGGAGCUCUUGGGGGUGGGUCCGCCGAAUGGGGGCGCCGAGUGCUGGGGAGUACAGGUCCAGGCGCUGCGGGUCGCGGGGACACCGGGGCUGCCCCAGGACUGAGGACAGACGGAGGCGGGGGCGCAGGCUGGGAGGCUGGGGCUUGGGAGCGCGGUCAAAGGCAGAGGCUGUGGUUGCGCGGGGGAAGGGAGACGUGCAGGGCGUGGAACGGAUUCGGGGGCUCUCGGGGAGGAGGGCGAGGGGCGCAGGGGUGGGCCGGGGGGGCCUGGAGUGACGGGGGAAGGGGCGUCUGGCCGGUGGGCGCGGGCAGAAGCAGCGCAACCAAGCUCGGAGGAGGUGCAGAUCCCGGGGUCCGGGAGCUCAGGGGUGGGCCAGGGAGUGGACGGGGCGGGGUAACCGGGGAGCGCCAGCUGGGGUGGGGAAAGAAGAUGCCCAGAACUCCAAGCAGGUGCGCGGGGCGGGCUGCUCAUACCGCAGAGGUCGCUCGGGGUUCCGGGGGCGAUGUCGUUGCUGGGCACUUGAGUAAUUAAACGCAGCGGGGUCGCAGGUGACAGCGGGGAGGACAGGGGAUCAAGGGGACCCUGGCCAGAGGGCAGGAGGCUGACCUUGAGCGCCACGGAGGCAGUGCGGGGAGGGCCGGGGUCCCGUGGGGCGCAGUGACACCGGGUGCGUAGCUGGCCGGGGGUGACGCUGGCGGCGCCUGAGGCUCAGGGUGUCGAGACCGCCACGCGGUCGCCCGCAGGCCUGGAAGUCCACGCCGGUUCCUGGAGACGGCGCCUCUGCUCUGAGGGUUCCGUGGUGGGGAAGUCUACCCACUGCACCCCGGCGCCCACUGCACGCGGCCCGGAGGACCAUGUCGGGGGCCGACUUUGACUUUCCUGGUGGAGAAAACAGUGAAUAACUUUUCAAAGUCUCCUGUGUUGCUGACCUGGUUAUUGUUUUUGAAUUAUCAUUUCUGAGACAUCUCUGUGGCAUGGUGGCAGAUUCCUGUGGAUUCCAUCAUAAAUCAAGGACAUGGAUGGAGACCAUAUUCUAUUCCCUCUAGUUACGAAUAAGCCUGGAAAAGACUCAGGAAGGACCACGUUCCACAGGACUCCCAUAGUUCUGAAACAUUCUGCUUUUCUUCACAGAGAGAUGGUGUUUCACAUCUACAAGAUGUUUUCCAGGCUGGUCUCAAACUCCUGGGCUCAAGCGAUCUUCUUGCCUCAGCCUCUUAAAGUUCUGGGAUAACAGUUUAAUUUCCAGGGCGGUAGCUGGAGAAUUGAGAAGGAGAGAGGAAACAGUUGUUAUUGUUGUUGUUUUUCCUUCUGCUCUGCUGGCACCCUGUGGAAAUUCUUAAACAUUUUGGUUAGGAAGAAUUAAUAUCGUGAAAAUGGCUAUACUGCCCAAAGUAAUUUACAGAAUCAACGCUAUCCCCAUCAAGAUACCAUUGACUUUCUUCACAGAACUGGAAAAAACCACCAUGAACUUCAUAUGGAACCAAAAGAGAGCCCGCAUAGCCAAGUCAAUUCUAAGCAAGAAGAACACAGCGGCGGGCAUCACACUACCAGAUUUCAAACUAUACUACAAGGCUACAGUAAUCAAAACAGCAUGGUACUGGUACCAAAACAGAGAAAUAGACCAAUGGAACAAAACAGAGGCA